rnacentral:hammerhead_ribozyme from 1 species
GCACUCCUGAGGAGUCCCACAAUAGGACGAAACGGUCGUUCAGUGC